rnacentral:rRNA from 1 species
CUAAGUUUGAUGGCGACCGGCGCACGGGUGAGUAACACGUAUCCAACCUGCCGAUGACUCGGGGGAUAGCCUUUCGAAAGAAAGAUUAAUACCCGAUGGCAUAGUUCUUCCGCAUGGUAGAACUAUUAAAGAAUUUCGGUCAUCGAUGGGGAUGCGUUCCAUUAGGUUGUUGGCGGGGUAACGGCCCACCAAGCCUUCGAUGGAUAGGGGUUCUGAGAGGAAGGGUCCCCCACAUUGGAACUGAGACACGGUCCAAACUCCUACGGGAGGCAGCAUG